GACGAACGCUGGCGGCGUGCCUAAUACAUGCAAGUCGAACGCACGAAGUUGAAGAGCUUGCUCUUUAACCAAUUGAGUGGCGGACGGGUGAGUAACACGUGGGUAACCUGCCCAUUAGAGGGGGAUAACAUUCGGAAACGGAUGCUAAUACCGCAUAGUUUCAGGGAUCGCAUGAUUCUUGAAGGAAAGGUGGCUUCGGCUACCACUAAUGGAUGGACCCGCGGCGUAUUAGCUAGUUGGUGAGGUAAUGGCUCACCAAGGCAAUGAUACGUAGCCGACCUGAGAGGGUGAUCGGCCACACUGGGACUGAGACACGGCCCAGACUCCUACGGGAGGCAGCAGUAGGGAAUCUUCCGCAAUGGACGAAAGUCUGACGGAGCAACGCCGCGUGAGUGAAGAAGGUUUUCGGAUCGUAAAACUCUGUUGUUAAAGAAGAACAAGGAUGAGAGUAACUGCUCAUCCCCUGACGGUAUUUAACCAGAAAGCCACGGCUAACUACGUGCCAGCAGCCGCGGUAAUACGUAGGUGGCAAGCGUUGUCCGGAUUUAUUGGGCGUAAAGCGAGCGCAGGCGGUUCUUUAAGUCUGAUGUGAAAGCCCCCGGCUCAACCGGGGAGGGUCAUUGGAAACUGGAGAACUUGAGUGCAGAAGAGGAGAGUGGAAUUCCACGUGUAGCGGUGAAAUGCGUAGAUAUGUGGAGGAACACCAGUGGCGAAGGCGACUCUCUGGUCUGUAACUGGCACUGAGGUGCGAAAGCGUGGGGAGCAAACAGG
rnacentral:rRNA from 1 species